rnacentral:rRNA from 1 species
GGCUCAGAAUGAACGCUGGCGGCGUGCUUAACACAUGCAAGUCGAACGAGAAAUCUUUAGCUCGCUAGAGAAAGUAAAGUGGCGCACGGGUGAGUAACGCGUGGGUAAUCUGCCUCCGAAUCGGGGAUAACAUUGCGAAAGCGAUGCUAAUACCGGAUAAAAUCUGGUUGGCUUCGGUGAACCGGAUCAAAGGUGGUCUCUUUAUAAAAGCUACCGUUUGGAGAUGAGCUCGCGUACCAUUAGCUAGUUGGUGAGGUAAAGGCUCACCAAGGCGACGAUGGUUAGCUGGUCUGAGAGGAUGAUCAGCCACACCGGAACUGGAACACGGUCCGGACUCCUACGGGAGGCAGCAGUGAGGAAUUUUGCGCAAUGGGGGAAACCCUGACGCAGCAACGCCGCGUGAGUGAUGAAGGCUUUCGGGUCGUAAAGCUCUGUCAGGUGGGAAGAACCCACCAAGUGUUAAGACCACUUGGUGCUGACGGUACCACCGAAGGAAGCACCGGCUAACUCCGUGCCAGCAGCCGCGGUAAUACGGGGGGUGCGAGCGUUAUUCGGAAUCAUUGGGCGUAAAGGGCGCGCAGGCGGUUUUGUAAGUCAGAUGUGAAAUCCCGGGGCUUAACCCCGGAAGUGCAUAUGAAACUAUGAGACUUGAGUAUGGGAGAGGGAAGCGGAAUUCCUGGUGUAGCGGUGAAAUGCGUAGAUCUCAGGAGGAACACCGGUGGCGAAGGCGGCUUCCUGGACCAAUACUUGACGCUGAGGCGCGAAGGCGUGGGGAGCGAACAGGAUUAGAUACCCUGGUAGUCCACGCAGUAAACGUUGAUCACUAGGUGUAGCGGGU